UACGGAGGGUGCGAGCGUUGUCCGGAAUUACUGGGCGUAAAGGGCGCGUAGGCGGCCUGAUAAGUAGGGGGUGAAAUCCUGCGGCUUAACCGCAGGGCUGCCUUCUAAACUGUCAGGCUUGAGCACAGUAGAGGCAGGUGGAAUUCCCGGUGUAGCGGUGGAAUGCGUAGAGAUCGGGAAGAACAUCAGUGGCGAAGGCGGCCUGCUGGGAUGUUGCUGACGCUGAGGCGCGACAGCGUGGGGAGCAAACAGG
rnacentral:rRNA from 1 species